GUCGAACGAUGAACUGGUGCUUGCACUGGGGAUUAGUGGCGAACGGGUGAGUAACACGUGAGUAACCUGCCCUUGACUCUGGGAUAAGCCUGGGAAACUGGGUCUAAUACCGGAUAUGACCUUCCAUCGCAUGGUGGUUGGUGGAAAGCUUUUGUGGUUUUGGAUGGACUCGCGGCCUAUCAGCUUGUUGGUGGGGUAAUGGCCUACCAAGGCGACGACGGGUAGCCGGCCUGAGAGGGUGACCGGCCACACUGGGACUGAGACACGGCCCAGACUCCUACGGGAGGCAGCAGUGGGGAAUAUUGCACAAUGGGCGGAAGCCUGAUGCAGCGACGCCGCGUGAGGGAUGACGGCCUUCGGGUUGUAAACCUCUUUCAGUAGGGAAGAAGCGAAAGUGACGGUACCUGCAGAAGAAGCGCCGGCUAACUACGUGCCAGCAGCCGCGGUAAUACGUAGGGCGCAAGCGUUAUCCGGAAUUAUUGGGCGUAAAGAGCUCGUAGGCGGUUUGUCGCGUCUGCCGUGAAAGUCCGGGGCUCAACUCCGGAUCUGCGGUGGGUACGGGCAGACUAGAGUGAUGUAGGGGAGACUGGAAUUCCUGGUGUAGCGGUGAAAUGCGCAGAUAUCAGGAGGAACACCGAUGGCGAAGGCAGGUCUCUGGGCAUUAACUGACGCUGAGGAGCGAAAGCAUGGGGAGCGAACAGGAUUAGAUACCCUGGUAGUCCAUGCCGUAAACGUUGGGCACUAGGUGUGGGGGACAUUCCACGUUUUCCGCGCCGUAGCUAACGCAUUAAGUGCCCCGCCUGGGGAGUACGGCCGCAAGGCUAAAACUCAAAGGAAUUGACGGGGGCCCGCACAAGCGGCGGAGCAUGCGGAUUAAUUCGAUGCAACGCGAAGAACCUUACCAAGGCUUGACAUGAACCGGUAAUACCUGGAAACAGGUGCCCCGCUUGCGGUCGGUUUACAGGUGGUGCAUGGUUGUCGUCAGCUCGUGUCGUGAGAUGUUGGGUUAAGUCCCGCAACGAGCGCAACCCUCGUUCUAUGUUGCCAGCACGUGAUGGUGGGGACUCAUAGGAGACUGCCGGGGUCAACUCGGAGGAAGGUGGGGACGACGUCAAAUCAUCAUGCCCCUUAUGUCUUGGGCUUCACGCAUGCUACAAUGGCCGGUACAAAGGGUUGCGAUACUGUGAGGUGGAGCUAAUCCCAAAAAGCCGGUCUCAGUUCGGAUUGGGGUCUGCAACUCGACCCCAUGAAGUCGGAGUCGCUAGUAAUCGCAGAUCAGCAACGCUGCGGUGAAUACGUUCCCGGGCCUUGUACACACCGCCCGUCAAGUCACGAAAGUUGGUA
rnacentral:rRNA from 1 species